rnacentral:rRNA from 1 species
AGAGCGAACGCUGGCGGCAGGCCUAACACAUGCAAGUCGAGCGCUCCGCAAGGGGAGCGGCAGACGGGAGAGUAACACGUGGGAACGUACCCUUCAGUUCGGAACAACCCAGGGAAACUUGGGCUAAUACCGAAUACGUCCGUAAGGAGAAAGAUUUAUCGCUGAAGGAUCGGCCCGCGUCUGAUUAGCUUGUUGGUGAGGUAACGGCUCACCAAGGCGACGAUCAGUAGCUGGUCUGAGAGGAUGAUCAGCCUCACUGGGACUGAGACACGGCCCAGACUCCUACGGGAGGCAGCAGUGGGGAAUAUUGGACAAUGGGCGCAAGCCUGAUCCAGCCAUGCCGCGUGGGUGAUGAAGGCCCUAGGGUUGUAAAGCCCUUUCGGCGGGGAAGAUAAUGACGGUACCGCAGAAGAGCCCGGCUAACUUCGCGCCAGCAGCCGC